rnacentral:rRNA from 1 species
UGCUUAACACAUGCAAGUCGAACGGCAGCAUGGUCCAGCUUGCUGGACUGAUGGCGAGUGGCGAACGGGUGAGUAACGCGUAGGAAUAUGCCUUAAAGAGGGGGAUAACCUGGGGAAACUCAGGCUAAUACCGCAUAAGCUCUGAGGAGUGAAGCUGGGGACCGUAAGGCCUGGCGCUUUGAGAUUAGCCUGCGUCUGAUUAGCUAGUUGGUGGGGUAAGGGCCUACCAAGGCGACGAUCGGUAGCUGGUCUGAGAGGAUGAUCAGCCACACUGGGACUGAGACACGGCCCAGACUCCUACGGGAGGCAGCAGUGGGGAAUAUUGGACAAUGGGGGGAACCCUGAUCCAGCAAUGCCGCGUGUGUGAAGAAGGCCUGAGGGUUGUAAAGCACUUUCGGUGGGGAGGAUGGAAUGGUUGGUUAAGAGCUGACUGUUCUGACGUUACCCAGAGAAGAAGCACCGGCUAACUCCGUGCCAGCAGCCGCGGUAAUACGGAGGGUGCGAGCGUUAAUCGGAAUUACUGGG